rnacentral:lncRNA from 1 species
UGCAUUUACAGAUCAGAGGUGGUGUGUCUUGUUCAUAUCUUCAUCUGUGUGUGUUUUUUCUUUAUCACAGCAAUACUCUGAAGCUGCUCAGCUCUAUGAAAAAGGACAGUAUUAUGACAAAGCAGCCUCUCUCUACAUUCGCUGCAAAAACUGGACAAAGGUGGAAGAGCUGCUUCCAAACAUCUCUUCUCCCGAGAUUCACUUGCAGUAUGCAAAGGCCAAGGAGGCGGAGGGCAAAUACAAGGAUGCGGCACGAGCCUACGAGAGCGCGAAGGACUGGGACAGUGUGAUCCGCGUGCUGCUGGACCACCUGAACAAACCAGAAGAAGCUGUUCGCAUCGCCAGAGAGAUGCAGAGCAUCGAUGGAGCAAAGAUGGUUGCCAGGUAGGAUUUUACUGACCUGAAAAUCCAACAAAUAACUCACUUUUUU